UACGUAGGGUGCGAGCGUUGUCCGGAAUUAUUGGGCGUAAAGAGCUCGUAGGCGUUCUGUCGCGUCGGUCGUGAAAACUUGGGGCUUAACCCUGAGCUUGCGGUCGAUACGGGCAUGACUGGAGUUCGGUAGGGGAGACUGGAAUUCCUGGUGUAGCGGUGAAAUGCGCAGAUAUCAGGAGGAACACCGGUGGCGAAGGCGGGUCUCUGGGCCGAUACUGACGCUGAGGAGCGAAAGCGUGGGGAGCGAACAGG
rnacentral:rRNA from 1 species